CAUGGUGUAGCUCAAUGGCAGAGCGCCUGCUUUGGGAGCAGGAGGCCGGAGGUUCGAUCCCUCCCACCGUGA
rnacentral:tRNA from 1 species